rnacentral:lncRNA from 1 species
GGCCCAGCGCCCGGGCCGGCGCCCAGCCAGUCCCCACCCGCUGGAUUUCCUGAUGUAAACAGAGCAAGAACACAGCAACUCUGCUGAAUGUGUCACGCGGCGCUCUUUAUCUGCUUGGGGUCAAGACGGCGACUUAGAAAAACAGAAGCGUUGCUUUGAAUUUAAACAGCUAAGAGCCAGAGCCGAGACUGGUCUGCAGGGGGGAGGGCGAAGGCCUCCAGACCCACCUCCCGCUUUUGUGCCUACUUGUUCCACUUUAUGGCAUGAUUUGUUUCCUUAGGAAUUCCUUCUAUAGUACUUGGAGCUUUGUGGAUAAAGCACCAGUCAGAGCCGCCCUGUGGAAAUGGAGCAAAGAGUUGAAAUGUGAUUCCCAACCUGGAGUGGAUGCUCUUUUCACGCUCAGCUGGGUCUCUAACUCCUGAAAUAUUAAUCUGACAUAGGACAAGUACCAUCCAGGGAUGUGAAAAAUCCAGCCUGAGGCCCCAAACAGAGUGGGUCCUGCUCUCUGGGCAGAUCCAGAGCUCCUGAAGAUGAAAACCUCGUAAGCCAACUGUGGACUCGGUGCUUUGCUGCAAGAGGAUUCAUUUGAGCUAUAAUAAAAAGUAGUGUGUUUAUUUAACCCCUGUAAGC